GAUGAACGCUGGCGGCGUGCCUAAUACAUGCAAGUCGAGCGAACAGACGAGGAGCUUGCUCCUCUGACGUUAGCGGCGGACGGGUGAGUAACACGUGGAUAACCUACCUAUAAGACUGGGAUAACUUCGGGAAACCGGAGCUAAUACCGGAUAACAUGUUGAACCGCAUGGUUCAACAGUGAAAGACGGUCUUGCUGUCACUUAUAGAUGGAUCCGCGCCGCAUUAGCUAGUUGGUAAGGUAACGGCUUACCAAGGCAACGAUGCGUAGCCGACCUGAGAGGGUGAUCGGCCACACUGGAACUGAGACACGGUCCAGACUCCUACGGGAGGCAGCAGUAGGGAAUCUUCCGCAAUGGGCGAAACCCUGACGGAGCAACGCCGCGUGAGUGAAGAAGGUCUUCGGAUCGUAAAACUCUGUUAUUAGGGAAGAACAAAUGUGUAAGUAACUAUCCACGUCUUGACGGUACCUAAUCAGAAAGCCACGGCUAACUACGUG
rnacentral:rRNA from 1 species